rnacentral:rRNA from 1 species
GACGAACGCUGGCGGCGUGCCUAAUACAUGCAAGUCGAGCGGAGUUAUCCCUUCGGGGAUAACUUAGCGGCGGACGGGUGAGUAACACGUAGGCAACCUGCCUGCAAGACUGGGAUAACUACCGGAAACGGUAGCUAAUACCGGAUACGCAAGAGAGUCGCAUGAUUCUUUUGGGAAAGACGGAGCAAUCUGUCACUUGUGGAUGGGCCUGCGGCGCAUUAGCUAGUUGGUGAGGUAACGGCUCACCAAGGCGACGAUGCGUAGCCGACCUGAGAGGGUGAACGGCCACACUGGGACUGAGACACGGCCCAGACUCCUACGGGAGGCAGCAGUAGGGAAUCUUCCGAAAUGGACGCAAGUCUGACGGAGCAACGCCGCGUGAGUGAUGAAGGUUUUCGGAUCGUAAAGCUCUGUUGCCAGGGAAGAACGUCCGGUAGAGUAACUGCUACCGGAGUGACGGUACCUGAGAAGAAAGCCCCGGCUAACUACGUGCCAGCCGCCGCCGUAAUAC